GAUCAAUUUUGGCCUACAAGGCUAUACAGUAUCAUAUUUUGUACAACCCUUUUUAUGUAUUGUUUUGAUGGAAUAUGGAACUCAUUUCAUUUUAGUUUUUUAAAAUUAUGUUUAAUUUAUUAAUUGUACUAAUAUCUUAUGUUAAUUUUGUUUUUUUAGGGUGCCCCCCAUGUCUAGGUCUCGUCCUAAGAAAAAGAAUUCCUCGAAGACGCAAAAAACAUGGGAAGAAGGUAAUUGAACACAUUUUUAGUUGUACAAUUGUUUGAAAAUGUUGAAAUCAAGUAUUAGUUGGGGUUUGUAGAUUGAUUAGUGUUUUUUGUCUAUUUUACAUGUACAAUGACCAUUGAGCUAUGUGGAUUUGUUGAAUGCACCUGAUUCGCCCGUGGAUCAAGAGAGGGCGGAGGUAUGUAUCUCUACUUUAUUUUCUUGAUUUCAUGAUUACAUGCAUGCGUACAUGUGAACUUGUGAUAUAUUACAAUCUUAUAAUUUUUUCAUACAAGAAAUAUCCAUACCUAUUUCAUCAACGGCAAACCCUUUGUGCACUGGAGAAGCAUCUCAGGAUCCGGUACACUUGUUUGAUAUGUAAAAUUAAUUAUUUUUAACCUACAAUACUUAUCAUUAUAUUAAUUGUAUUUAAUCUUUGAACAUUUUUUGUAUAGGUAAUAGUGACAGUUUCUCCAUCAAUGGUGAGCCAUCCUCAGUCCAUUGGAGAAGCAUCUUAGGCACAGUACGACCAUAACAUGGAUCCAUUUAAGUAUGUCUUCAAGAAAACUCCUAAGAGUGACAAGGAGAGGAGAGCGAAGACAUUAGCUCCUAGAUCAACCAAUGAGAGCCGCAUACUGCAUUGAGGAGGCUUGAUUUUGAUGAUCUACCACAAGUUUAGGAUCAUAUAGUGUUAGUUUUGGUCAUAGAAUGACCAAUACAUGUAGAUAUAUUCUACAUUUUUAUUGUAUAUCGAU